rnacentral:rRNA from 1 species
UACAGAGGGGGCAAGCGUUAUUCGGAAUUAUUGGGCGUAAAGGGCGCGUAGGCGGCCAUUCAAGUGACGGGUGAAAGCCCUCGGCUUAACCGAGGAACUGCCUGUCAGACUGGAUGGCUUGAGACCGGGAGAGGUGAGUGGAAUUCCCAGUGUAGCGGUGAAAUGCGUAGAUAUUGGGAAGAACACCUGAGGCGAAGGCGGGUUGCCGGGCUGAUACUGACGCUGAGGCGCGAAAGCCAGGGGAGCAAACGGG